rnacentral:rRNA from 1 species
AUACGGAGGAUCCGAGCGUUAUCCGGAUUUAUUGGGUUUAAAGGGAGCGUAGGCGGACGCUUAAGUCAGUUGUGAAAGUUUGCGGCUCAACCGUAAAAUUGCAGUUGAUACUGGGUGUCUUGAGUACAGUAGAGGCAGGUGGAAUUCGUGGUGUAGUGGUGAAAUGCUUAGAUAUCACGAAGAACUCCGAUUGCGAAGGCAGCCUGCUGGACUGUAACUGACGCUGAUGCUCGAAAGUGUGGGUAUCAAACAGGAUUAGAUACCCUGGUAGUCCACACAGUAAACGAUGAAUACUCGCUGUUUGCGAUAUACAGUAAGCGGCCAAGCGAAAGCGUUAAGUAUUCCACCUGGGGAGUACGCCGGCAACGGUGAAACUUAAAGGAAUUGACGGGG